CGUGUGUGGUCGUCAAACUGCAAUGUCAUCCCCACUUGAUCCAACGGCCAACACUGGUCCAGAAAUGUAGCAGAUGAAAGUAAGACCCUCAGAUUGGAGGAUCCGAGUUGUCCGGUAAGACGAAUUCUUACUUUAUAAAUCGGAAGAGGAAGGAAGUAAAGCAAACUCUCUGAAGAGAUCACUGGUAGUGAGUGUUGAACAAAGCAGAGAUGGCUUCCUCCGUGCUCUCAUCGGCAGCUGUUGCCACCGUGAGCCGUGCCACCCCGGCUCAGGCCAGCAUGGUGGCACCUUUCAGCGGACUCAAGUCAGCARCUGCCUUCCCUGUGACCCGCAAGGCCAACAACGACAUCAGCUCCCUCCCCAGCAACGGUGGCAGAGUUCAGUGCAUGCAGGUGUGGCCACCACUCGGAAAGAAGAAGUUCGAGACCCUGUCUUACCUCCCACCACUCUCUCCUGAAUCAUUGGCAAAGGAAGUUGACUACCUCCUGCGCAUGGGAUGGAUUCCUUGCUUGGAGUUCGAGUUGGAGCAUGGAUUGGUU